rnacentral:rRNA from 1 species
GAAGGUGUGCUGUGAGGCAUGCUGGAGAAGCUACAAAAGAAAAUGUAGGCAUAAGUAACGAUAAUGCGGGCGAGAAACCCGCACGCCGAAAGACUAAGGUUUCCUCAGCUAUGCUAAUCAGCUGAGGGUUAGUCGGGACCUAACGCGAACCCGAAAGGGGUAGUGGAUGGACAACAGGUUAAUAUUCCUGUACCUGCUCUCAUUAAAAGUGACGGAGGUGUAAAUUUGGUGCGUACUGACGGAAUAGUACGUUGAAGCGAGUAGUGAUACCGCGAUAGUACACUGAGACUUCGGUCAAGGUGAUAAUCCAGAAAAGCAACUUCCAAGAAAAGCGAGAGAAGCAGCCCGUACCCUAAACCGACACAGGUAGUUGGGAUGAGAAUUCUAAGGCGCUCGAGAGAUUCAUGGCUAAGGAAUUAGGCAAAAUAGACUCGUAACUUCGGGAGAAGAGUCGCCACCCUUCGGGGUGGCCGCAGUGAAAAGGUCCAGGCGACUGUUUAUCAAAAACACAGGG